CCCCCUAGUGACGUUGCGGAGGGGGCGGGGUUGGUCCCUUUAAAUGGAACUAGUGUGUCAAGAUGCACACAAUUCAUUCUGCAGACAUUGAGACCUGCACGUAGACAGCAAUACAGCAAUACAGCAAUACAGCAAUACAGCAAUACAGCAAUACAGCAAUACAGCAAUACAGCAACUGAGCCCUCCUUACUGGGUAAGUGAGAUUUGAAAGAUAUAUAGUCUUGUUUAGCGAUGCCUUUCCUUUGUUACAUGCUUUGAUGGCUGGAUUUUAUAUGUGCUUUAAUUCUAUUACAAGAUCAUAAUGUAGACUUGUCAGUCUGUUAUACGUGUGUUAUAGACAUGUAGCUAUUAACACUGAUAUGUUAGUUUUCAUUCAAAUAGUUGUUUUUUUAUUUAAUGAAAUGGUAUGAAUUAUUAAACCAAAUCCGUUUAUUAACCUCGAAUGGAAGGUCUGACAAGUUGAGAUAUCCCUGACAUGUGGUCUUUAAGGGGUCCAUAUUGUAUUAAGUGCAUAUUACAUUUUGGUUUGCUCUAGCUGGUAACUAGUUUAGAAGUUACUGCUAGGUGCUGUUAGGCUAUUACUUUGGUAGAUGCUGUGUAUCGUAGUUUAUUUUAGAUAUUGUGUCGGUUUCUGUUGAAUUAAGCACCAAAUAAGUGGGUUUAGGACUGGUUUCAGACUGCCAGCUGUUUUAUGUUUUUUUUUUUUUUUGGCUGGAAAAAGUUCGUGUGGUUUUUUUUUUUUUUUAACUAGCUAACUGGAGAUCCAGAAUUUAAAAUACCCAGUUACAGUGUAAGAUUAAUGGUCUCUCUAUGAUUGGAAUAGUUAAUUAUUUUAAGGGUUCCCCUAUUUGUUUGUUUAGGUUUACAGUGAAUGCAUUUCAUAUUUAGUAGAUUUAGCUCUUCCACCUAUUCAUUGAACAGCAUACUAAUGACUGCCUGCUUUGUUUUGUUUGUUUACAGUUUGGAUAUCUGACGUUGUAAAGCCGUUUAUCAUGGAAACCAUGCAGGAGCUGAUUCCUUUCGCUAAAGAGAUGCUCAGCCAGAAACCCAGCAGAAAAAUGGUGAAAAUCUAUAUGCUGGGCAGUGUGCUGGCAUUUUUCGGGGUAGUCAUUGGACUGGUUGAGACUGUAUGCAGCCCAUUUGCUGGAAAAGACAAUGACGAGGAAAAAACCCCAGCCCCUCUGUCCGUACCAGUCCCUCUGCAAAAAAAGGAAGAGGUUGUCUUCGAAAAAAGCAAACCCCAAGUGGUUGGGGCAAGAAACUUGACUAACCGGGGGCACGCAUCCUAGACACUUGCCCCUUGGGUACUGAUAGACUGUAGAGUGUGCGUUGUAUUGUAGGUGAAGCGAAUGAUGACCUGUGUAUGGCGACGCCAAGGAGCUGCGUCAGUGUGGACUAAUUAAACUUGCUGCUGUGCAGCAGUGCCAACUACUCCUGGGUUAUACCCACAUUUUUAUAUUCUAAAUGCCUAUAUAUUUUGCUUUUUUAAUAAAUUUUAUUUUAUUAUGAAUACAA